ACAGACACAGUGAGAUUAACAAAUUAUAAUUUCAUAAAGAAUGCAUUCAAUCCUUUUGGUCGACAGCCUUUUAGCUUCAUUUGGUCAAUAAAGGCAUCGUCGGUGUUUCAUGACGAGGAUUUACCGGGAGCCACUUCAUCUAUUCUGGGAUGUGUGUGUGCUUCCACAAUUAAUGUUCAGAACAACUAUUUCCCUAUGUUUAGAAUCUAAUUGAUUGUUAAAGUCAUUUUUAUGGGGAAAAUAUGGCAGAAAAUACAGUUCAGCCUCAUAAAUACGGUUAAAUAAGGUUAAAUUCCACUUUUCUAGAUUUUAUAUGCCAUUAAAUUGUUAUAAUUGACUACUUUACUGCACUUUGUGACUGCGAUAAGUGCAAUAAAAAUACUUACUUAAUAAACUGAAUAUCUAUUUUGGGCAUUAAAAAGCAGCGUUUUAUUAACAUAUGCUGCUCGGCCGAGAACGCAGGACAUUUUACCGUUUGUCCAGUAACGCUGAUUUUUAUUUCGCCAGUAGGUGGCGUUCUUUAAUUCUACGUGAAAUUAGGCUCGUCCAUAUCCUCAGUACGUGACUUCUAACAAGCACGACAAGUUUUGGGCAGAUUUGAGUAAGUCCAGUUGAGCCACUAGGUGGCGCUUUGACGAAGUGAACAUAUUCAUGCAUCAUGUGUCAACUUGUCAUUUAAUUUUUUUAAAUAGGUGUUCCUAUGACAGAUUUGUAUGUUUAUUCAUGUAAAUGUCUUCAGGCCUUGACUGGCAUCAUCCAUGAUUAUUUUUGGAAGUAUUGGAUUAGUUUAAGUAAUAUUCUAUAACAGACAUGGGCAAACUACGGCCCGCGGGCCACAUCCGGCCCGUUAGGCUUUUUAAUCCGGCCCGCCGAACUUGUCCAAAUCGCAACUUUGUUUACUUCCGGUGUGCGUUAGCGCGGAAAGAACUCGUCACACGAAACCCUUCACCGUGAUUUGUCAAUCCGUUUGUCUGUCAACAUUUUGCGAAAAAAACAACCAAUGAACACUCAGUAAAUCACAAAGGACCCGCCCACCACACAGGUGAGGCUCAUUUAGAAACAGCCGCAGUGAUUUUGGCGAGCAGCGCGGAGCCUGGAGGAGCUGCAGAGCCACGAGGAGGAACACGCAGCCAGAAGAGAGCCACUUGGACCGGAGAGGAUUCACCAGCGCCUGCAGCUCAACCUGCAGCUCAACCUGCAGUUCAACCUGCCCGGCCAGCAAAGAGGUCUCGUGCCCCGGAGGACCACCAGCAUGACACGAUGACAUGAUGUUAUUAUAGUGAAGCCAUAUUGUAAAUAGUCUGUGCCAAUAGUUGUGUUCUGUUUUCUAUUUCUCAACAUGUAUAUAAUGUAGUUUUAUUUAUUUAUGUACAAUACAUAUUUAUUUGAAGAAAAAAAAAUGUAAUGGUCAUUUUUUAUUUGCACACAACCCAUGAAGAUUUAUCUGCAAUAUGAAGUCAUUUCUCAGUCCCAUCUUUAUCAUUUUGGUGAAUGUGUGACGGACCACAUAAUUUUUACUCAAAAAAACGAUAAUAACAAAUUUAGUUUUCCACAUUUAUUUACAUGUAUCUAGCAUUGUAUUCAGAUAUUUCACUGCUUUUGUGAACCUAUGACCUUUGGUAAACCAAUUUCAAACACCAAAACAGUUCGUCCACAUGAUUAAAGGUGUGUUUUCAGAAGAGAUAUGAAGAAUUUUUAAAAAUCGAACUUCAAUUUUCAGCUUUAGGGCCAUAUUUUCUCUUUCCACUUGUACCUGAGGACAAUUGUGCCUCAUUAUAUAGAGAGCUGAGACAAUCCGUCCAUUAUUUUGCGGGGUUUAAAACAAUUAGAAAUUAUUGAGCUUGAUUAUUUCGUUGGGUAAAAAUAUGUUUUGAAUGUUGAAAGUGAUUCCAUUGAUCUUUUUCCAGUAAAUGUCAAUUUCUUUAACUUUGCACCUUCAAUUGAAAUGUAUAAAAAUCAGACGCAAUCUCCAGGUUUAAUAAAUUACAUUGCGUGUCCAUUUGGGGCGGCUGUAGCUCAGUGGGGUAAGAGGGUCGUCCUGCAACCACAAGGUUGUGGGCUCGAUCCCCGCUCUCCCCAUUAGUUGCAAGUCGAAGUGUCCUUGAGCAAGGCACUGAACCCCCAGUUGCUUCCCGGGCGCAUCACUGCAGCCCACUGCUCCUUAAUAACUAAGGACGGGUUAAAUGCAGAGAAGUAAUUUCCCCUUGGGGAUUAAUAAAAGUGUAUAUUAAUUUAUUUAU